rnacentral:tRNA from 1 species
AGAUUGGCUAAGCUAAUAGUGGCUUCUAACCUCUACGAGGGGGUGUAAUUCCUCCACAAUCUU